GAGAGAGAGAGAGAGAGAUUUGAAAGCGGCCGUGUUAAGUCGCCUCGAAUCGCUGUUCCGAGGUUAAGCGGAGAGCAAAUGGCGCGCACGCGCGCGCAUGCGCCCGCAGUAGAGACCACGAGGGACACACAGGCAUGAUACGCGCGCGCGCACACACACACGAGGAGAGAAGAUAGGAGCACCAAUUAACAACCAGCCACUAACCUCUGUGUGAGCAGCGGAAGGAAAAGUUUGUAGAUUUUUUUUUUUACAAAUUAAAAUUUCUCCUCUGAGCACUUAGCGGCAGAGUGUGGGGUUUCAGCAUCGCUCUGAAACCCCACAGUUCAAUCGAUGAGUAUCACAUCAAGGUGCUUCUUUGCACCGAAGUGCUGUCUACAUUGGAGCCAGACAGACAGGUGGAAUCCAACACGUCUCAGACUCGGACUGUGAUGCUGCCUUUAUGGCUAAAUUUGUUUCCCUGCUAUUGAUGACCGAAUCCGGUCACUUUGUGUAUCUUGUGGACCAUCCCAGAGAUCUGAUUGGCCACCCCGUUAUCCCAGAGGAUUACUGGCUAUGUGUUAGUGAGCCUCCUGCAUGUCCCGUGGCGUCGUACCUGUGGGUCAGCGGCCUGGAAGAGGCAGACACGUGCACAAUCAGGUGAUAGUGUUACUGUAUCCUGCUCUUUCCUCUGGUUGCCCCUGGCAACGGCGGGAAAGGCAGGGCUAAAAGAUGGAGCAGGAGAAGAUGACCAAGGAC